AGCCUACGGGUUCUUUGGCAUAGAUCCGGCAGUUUACCAGCGAAUCUUUGGGCCAGUAUGUAAAGAGGUUCAGAGAAGCAGUCGGUCAGGUGUUCGAUCUUAAUGAUCCCCAGGCUGUAGGUUUGUUCCAGAAUGGAUUGGAUCUGGUAAAGUCUGAAAAGUUGGUGAAGAAGUUGAUGUUCAACCAUCCGAAGAGCUUGGCCGAAGCCUUUGACAA
rnacentral:lncRNA from 1 species